CAGUCGCCGCGGUAAUACAGAGGAUGCAAGCGUUGUCCGGAAUUAUUGGGCGUAAAGGGCUCGCAGGCGGUUUCUUAAGUCUGAUGUGAAAGCCCCCGGCUCAACCGGGGAGGGUCAUUGGAAACCGGGAAACUUGAGUGCAGAAGAGGAGAGUGGAAUUCCACGUGUAGCGGUGAAAUGCGUAGAGAUGUGGAGGAACACCAGUGGCGAAGGCGACUCUCUGGUCUGUAACUGACGCUGAGGAGCGAAAGCGUGGGGAGCGAACAGGAUUAGAGACCCCCGUAGUCCCUGUCUCUUAUAC
rnacentral:rRNA from 1 species